AGUGAACGCUGGCGGUAGGCCUAACACAUGCAAGUCGAACGGCAGCACAGUAAGAGCUUGCUCUUACGGGUGGCGAGUGGCGGACGGGUGAGGAAUACAGCGGAAUCUACUUUUUCGUGGGGAUGAACGUGGGGAAACUACUGCAAAUGCGCCCUUGGUCCAAGGGGUGAAUUAGGGGGCUCUGCGGCCUUUGGCCGUUCGAGUGGCCCAUUGGCGGUUUGGUUAGUUGGCGGGGUAAAGGCCCCCCAAGGCGAAGACCGGUAGCGGGUCUGAGCGGAUGAACAGCCACAGUGGAACUGAGACACGGUCCAGACUCCUACGGGCGGCAGCAGUGGGGAAUAUUGGAAAAUGGGCGCAAGCCUGAUCCAGCCAUACCGCGUUGGUGAAGAAGGCCUGCGGGUUGUAAAGCCCUUUUGUUGGGAAAGAACAGCAGCAGGUUAAAACCACGCUGUUCUGACGGUACCCAAAGAAUAAGCACCGGCUAACUUCGUG
rnacentral:rRNA from 1 species